UACGUAGGGUGCGAGCGUUGUUCGGAUUUACUGGGCGUAAAGCGCACGUAGGCGGAUCGAUCAGUCAGGGGUGAAAUCCCAGAGCUCAACUCUGGAACUGCCUUUGAUACUGUCGAUCUGGAGUAUGGAAGAGGUGAGUGGAAUUCCGAGUGUAGAGGUGAAAUUCGUAGAUAUGGGGAGGAACACCGUGGCGAAGGCGGCC
rnacentral:rRNA from 1 species